rnacentral:tRNA from 1 species
CCGGACGUAGCUCAAUUGGUAGAGAUCGGCCCUAAAGGGAUGCUCGCUAAACAGCAUGUAUGCGGGUUCGAGCCCCGUCGUCCGGU